UACAGAGGGUGCAAACGUUGUUCGGAUUUACUGGGCGUAAAGCGCGUGUAGGCUGCUUCGCAAGUCGGAUGUGAAGGCCCUGGGCUCAACCCAGGAAGUGCAUUCGAAACUGCAGAGCUGGAGUCCUGGAGAGGAAGGCGGAAUUCUCGGUGUAGAGGUGAAAUUCGUAGAUAUCGAGAGGAACACCGGUGGCGAAGGCGGCCUUCUGGACAGUGACUGACGCUGAGACGCGAAAGCGUGGGGAGCAAACAGG
rnacentral:rRNA from 1 species